AGCGGGUCGUUUUCUGAAAGGAAAGCGGCGUUGCUGAAAGCUAGGUUCUAAAACGUUGGGCCAGUCGCGCUGAAAGGCGCGGCUAGUCGUGCAUAUGCACGGCGACACUGUCAAAUUGCGGCGACACCCUGAGAGCUUCAAGUACCAAGCUAGCGUCGAAAGACAGCUAGUGGCCGAGUUAGUAACCCUGGGUACGGUAAAAACCUUGAAGAUUGGGCGAGCACGCAGCCAAGUCCUACGGCGCAAGCUACGGAUGCAGUUCACAGACUAAAUGGCAGUGGGCGAAAGCUUAAGAUAUAGUCGGGCCUCUGGCGAAAGCCAGGU
rnacentral:ncRNA from 1 species